rnacentral:lncRNA from 1 species
UUCUAAGUGUCUAAUCAUCCCUUUUUUUUAUGUACUCUAGAUGGAACCCAGGACCAAGGAGGAUCGCCCCCGCCACUACAAGAUCGUCCCCGCCGCAGCAAAGGACUUCGAAGAUCUUUAAAUGUAUGGUUUCUUACAACAACAACUGGGAAGAGUAAUGCAGCAAGAAAGUAAAAAGUGAUAAAAUUGCAGUUUGAAUCUGGUUCAGACAUGGACACAUGAAGAUCCUCAAGUUUAAAUUUAACUAGAAAGAGCUUGUGGGAUACAGGCUAAAGAUGAAAUACAAGAUUGGUGUUGACCAAAGCAAUCAGCAGUAUAUAAUGUGAUUCAAGAGAAUUGAUCGUAACAUGGUGUAUCCAAACCAACCAAAGUUGUAACUAGACAGCUUUAGACAAGUUCGUCUUCAUUGAAAGUCAAAUCAAGCUUCCACAAAUUGCAGCUCAUGGACAUUGUGUUGACUCCACCCAAGUUGUAAAACCAGAAAAAGAAUUUCUCAUUCUCAUGCAGUGGCAAUAGUUGAAGAAAAGUUGUCCGAAGAUCUAAAUGACACAGAAUUUUACACUUGCAAUUUCAAGCAACUGUUGGGCUUCGGUAACCAAGUUUGAAAGGGAUUUCAAUAGAUUUGAAUAAAGAAAAUUCAAAACGUUUGAGAAAGAGCUGAAACACGAAAAAUCCAAUCAUUACUGGAGUAGAGAUCUCAUUGCUUGGUGCCUACCGUGACUUAUUGGUCUAGCUCUACGACGGUAGAAGAAAAAUGCUGCUGGUGUAGGACGUUGAUAGUGUUGCACUCAUCCCCUGACGGCAGAAGAACAAGAGAUCCAGGUCCUCUAUUUAUUGGCAUCACGCAUCACCCCAUUGAUUUCACGUGACACGAAUCGACACAAAUUGCUGGAUUAGAUUGACGACUCAUUUAAAAAAAAAAUGGACGACAACGCAAACGGACCUCAGGCGAGAGACGAUUUUGAAAAUGGUUUAUCCCGACUGCUAAUUCAGACGAAUCUUGAUUUCGAAUUUGAUAACAUUGCUGGACCGUCAAAAGCCUUCCAUUAAUCCCUGCUGAAAGAUGAAACUUUCUUCUGGACCUACGUUAGAAGAAUCUUUGCAGAUCGAUUGCCCUUACCAUGUUAUAGGAUACCAAAGCCAUUCACUAGAACUCACCCGAAAAAAACUGGUCGACUUUGACGAGUCUUUCGCGAAAAUCGAUAGUUUGGCAGCCAUCGUCGCUUCCGCCCGAAUUACAAGAAGUCAUCCUUUUCGAUUUUCUUGAACUACAGGAGAAAAACUGAAGUUUGUCCGAUCGCGUAUCAUAAGCAAAGUGCGAAAUUAUUCACACUCACAUUUCCUAAUCUGAAAUUAAAAACAGAACAAAGCAUUAAUCAGUUUAUCUCUCUUCAUUCCGAUUCCCUCACUACGCUUCUACUCAACUGUCAACACCUUUCAUUCGCAUAGUUGACCAUUUGAAUCUUGAUAUAAUAGUGGUCGCUUCCGUGCCGCUGUUACACACCUGCAGUCACUCACCACGGACUAUGCCCAGGUGGCUAAAAUCAAGUUGUCCCCCAGCCGCCAGAUGACGCAAGUGUCUUUGAGAGGACGAAAUUUGCUCCAUUUUGUUCCGAAACGCCAUACGCCAAGUGAAAAGGUAUUCCAAAUACGUUACGGAAUUGCGGUGUCGAUCUACAUUUUCAGCAUUGAAAUUUAAUUGGCAAUCUGGCAUAUAAUUUCCACUUGGCCGAAUAAUCGGUCACGUGGACUGAAACUGCUUUCCAUUUUGCCGAAAUGUCGUCCGUUGUUAGCUGUAACUGUUCGGAUGUACGUCUCAUCUCACGCAGAAACACUACAGAGUUGGUGUUCAGGUUGGAGAUCCUGUUGCUUAGCUGUUGCAGAAUGUGAGAACUCGAAAAUUCUAAGCUCAAUGGCUGGCAUCAUGGCCACACUCCACAGUGGUGUUGUUGCAGCCAGCUGGUGAAAGGCGAGAUUGAGUCAAGUUGAGCUGCAGCUGCUGCAUGCAGUUUAUCGAGCUGGUGUUAUCCUGAAGUGUCAUUGCAGGAAGACUUUUUGAAAUGGACUUGGUGUAACUUAAACUAUUCCUGUUCUGUUCAAUGUGCAGUGGUUUUGCAGCCUGUUUCCAGUUGAGAGAGGUGAUUAUGAAGCUGAUACAGGAUUGAAGAAAAAGAACUUAAGUAGCUGUGCUGGUGUUCUCCUGAAAUUGCUGUGCCACAGGAGUUGCAGAUAGUGUUUGGUUCCUCAUAGAAGUUUACUUAAAGAGUCUGGAGAUCAGCCACUUCUGCCUAUAACUUGUGUAAAACUUCAAAGUUGUAAAAAAUAUACAAGUCGUGAACUAAA